GCUGGGUGCGGUGGUGCACACUGUAAUCCCAGCUACUCGGGAGGUGAGGUGGGAGGAUUGCUUGAGCCCAGAAGUCCAGGGCUGUAAUGUGCGGUGCCAGUCAGGUGUCUGCACUAAGUUCAGCCCCUGUAGAGUGACCUUUCAGGAGUGCAGAACCACCAGGUUGCCUAAGGAUGGGUGAACCUGCCCCAGGUUGGAAACAGAGCAGGUCAAAAUUCCCGCGCUGAUGAGCAGUGGGAUAGCGCCUGUGAACAGCCCCUGUACUCCAGCCUGGACAAUACAGCGAGAUCCUGUCUCU
rnacentral:SRP_RNA from 1 species